rnacentral:rRNA from 1 species
AAGUGCGCACGGGUGAGUAACGCGUGGAUAAUCUGCUGAUGCUCUGGGAUAACAUCUCGAAAGGGGUGCUAAUACUGGAUAAGCCCAGGGGGUCUUCGGACCUUGCGGGAAAAGAGGGGGACUUUCGGGCCUCUUGACAUCAGAUGAGUCCGCGUCCCAUUAGCUAGUUGGUGGGGUAAAGGCCUACCAAGGCGACGAUGGGUAGCUGGUCUGAGAGGAUGAUCAGCCACACUGGAACUGAGACACGGUCCAGACUCCUACGGGAGGCAGCAGUGGGGAAUUUUGCGCAAUGGGGGAAACCCUGACGCAGCAACGCCGCGUGAGUGAUGAAGGCCUUCGGGUCGUAAAGCUCUGUCAGAGGGAAAGAAAUGUGGGCAGCUAAUAUCUGUUCCACUUGACGGUACCCUCAGAGGAAGCACCGGCUAACUCCGUGCCAGCAGCCGCGGUAAUACGGAGGGUGCGAGCGUUGUUCGGAAUUAUUGGGCGUAAAGCGCGUGUAGGCGGUUUGCUCAGUCUGAUGUGAAAGCCCUGGGCUCAACCUGGGAAGUGCAUUGGAUACUGGCAGACUUGAGUACGGGAGAGGGUAGUGGAAAUUCCCAGGGUGGGAGUGAAAUCCGUAGAUAUUGGGAGGAACACCGGUGGCGAAGGCGGCUGCCUGGACCGAUACUGACGCUGAGACGCGAAAGCGUGGGGAGCAAACAGGAUUAGAUAUCCUGGUAGUCCACGCCGUAAACGAUGAGUACUAGGUGUUGCGGGUAUUGACCCCUGCAGUGCCGUAGCUAACGCAUUAA